UGCCAGCCGCCGCGGUAAUACAGAGGGUGCAAACGUUGCUCGGAUUUACUGGGCGUAAAGCGCGUGUAGGCGGACUCGCAAGUCGGUUGUGAAAUCCCUGGGCUCAACCUAGGAACUGCAUCCGAAACUGCUUGUCUUGAGUAAUGGAGAGGGUGGCGGAAUUCCCGGUGUAGAGGUGAAAUUCGUAGAUAUCGGGAGGAACAUCAGUGGCGAAGGCGGCUAACUGGCUCGGUACUGACGCUGAGAUGCCAAAGCGUGGGGAGCAAACAGGAUUAGAUA
rnacentral:rRNA from 1 species